GUGUCAGCCGCCGCGGUAAGACGGAGGAGGCUAGCGUUGUUCGGAAUUACUGGGCGUAAAGCGUGCGCAGGUUGUGAGUUCAGUUGGAUGUGAAAGCCCGGGGCUUAACCUCGGAUGUGCAUCCAAUACUGGCUCGCUGGAGGUUGGAAGAGGAGAGUGGAAUUCCCAGUGUAGAGGUGAAAUUCGUAGAUAUUGGGAAGAACACCAGUGGCGAAGGCGGCUCUCUGGUCCAUACCUGACACUCAUGCACGAAAGCGUGGGGAGCAAACAGGAUUAGAUACCCUUGUAGUCC
rnacentral:rRNA from 1 species